rnacentral:lncRNA from 1 species
AAUUCAUUAUUUACUUUUCGUUAGCCGAUAUACAUAAAUUAUACACUGAUUAUACAUGGAUGCAUGGGUGGAUGCACGUUUAAUGAAGUGGUGGCACGCGACACUGCUUCAUCGAUUUUUUUUUUUUUACUAUAUAUAUUAAUAUCGUAAGGACACAGAUAAAGAAGGAAAAAAUGACACCACUUGACAUAAAUUAUUUCUUGGUACGUCAGUUAUGUGCUUGAUUUUGCUUUUAGAUGUCAAAGGUUCGAACCUCAACUAACACAUUUUUUUUUUUUUGCAAAUAUUUAAGAGAGCCCUUAUGGUUAAAAAUUGUGAUUGAAUUAGAAUUGAACUCAGGACCUUUUCUAACUAAAGACUCAACAAAAUCAAUAGAAUAAGGCUAUUUCUUGUGCAAUAAUUAAAGUUAUUAUUCUCGUUCUUAUAUAAAUUUCGAUACCGCUUAUAAAAAUUCCUGCGUACGCCCCUGUACAGAUGUAUACAUAUGGAUUAUAUAUAUACAUUUCGUCGACUAUUUUUAGUUUAAGCAGUUGGAUGGACAAUUAACAAUUUGAUUUUUACAUGUUAUGCAGUUCAUUCAAACAUUCAAGUGAUGGCUAUGCGAGUCCUACCUUUAGAGAUACAGAUGAUUGAGCAGUUUCUAAUCCCAGAUCUUACCUCAUUAAAAGGCAGAUGUUUCUCCCCUUGCAAAUCUAGUGCAGAAUGCAAUGUACAGAAAAUGUGUUCACAAUGUCGAAAGAGUAUGCGUUGGAGGUCGUCUAAGAGUUGCAUGGCUCCAAAUUAACCCAAUUUGAAUCAAUCUCAUAUGAUAUUUUCUAUGUUCCUUUUUUGCCUACUUGAUCCUUCUGAGAGCUGAGUUUCUAUCGGAAAUAAUCUUUCUAUCGAUACAAGGCAGGAUUAAGGUCUGCGUACACACUACCCUUCUCAGACCCCAUUUGUAGAAAAACACUGGGUAUGUUUUUCUUGUUAUUGUUGUUGUUACUUGCACCUUCUAAGAGCCGAUGGUCUAUCGAAAAUAGUCUUUCUAUCUGCACAAGAUAGGAAUAAAGUCUGUGUAUACACUACCCUCCCCAGGCUUCACUUGUAAAAAUAAAUUGUGUAUGUUGUUGUUGUUACUUGCUCCUUCUAAGCUUUGUGUCACUUGUAAAAUUAAAGUUACUAUCUUUAUUCUGAAUAAAUAAAUGU